UCUUUCCUCAUCCUUUCUCUUUAACCCUUCUCACUUCAUCCUAUCCCUCUGCUUCUUUCUCUCAUUCUACUUUCCUUCUUCCUGCCUUCGUCCUCUAGUUCCUUUUUCUAAACCCUCCCCUACCAAGCCUGGGAAUACCUCCCCAGUCUUUCCUUGCCCCUUUCUCCUUCCCCUUUUAGCCCCCUCCUCCCUUUCUCUUGACAUUCGGGCUUCACUCUCCAGUUUCUUCUCUCAUUUAUUUUCUCUCCUUUUCUCUCUUUCUCCUCCCUCAUCCACCUCUGCACUGUUUCUCAGGUGUCUCUCCUUGUCCUAUUUCUCCCACCACCCCCAAUUUAGAUGCAGCAGAAAUCAAGCUCCAAAGACAUCAGGGAGAGCCUUGAAGGGUCUGUUCUAGGUUCUGGGGGAUACAAAAAGAGGUGAAAGCCUGCUUUCAACGAACUGGUGUUCUACUGGCAGGUAACAAAUUCAACAAGCAAAUAGAGUGUGACUUCUAGCCAUGAGAGGCUGGCUGUGGAGAGGAUACCCUGGGAGCCCCUCACAAGGGCAUGAUCCACCAUGGAUGCUGCAGCUAAGGAGAGCUAGCUGCACAAGGACUCUAUGAAGAAAGGACUUCCUGGCCCUACAAUACCACCAGAAGUUGGUCUUGUGAGAUUUCAGAAGGUAGAAGGAACAGAGUUUAAGUGGCAAGAGUCCACAUCAGAGUUUGCUGACUGCUGAGGCCCGUGUGCCAGUACGGCCCUGAGCAGCAGUCUGCUUGACCCAGCCCAGCAAUGAAUGGCUGAGAACAGCACGUCCUCCUGCAAGGCAGAGACUUGUCUAGCACUGACAGCAUUCAAAAAUGGACUUGGUGAGGACAAAUGACUUGUAAGGUGUAGCACAGGGAGUGUG